GAGCUUGGAAAUGGGCUCUGCGAUUCCGGCAAGCCAUUUCUCUGGGUCGUGAGAUCCAGCGAGGUAGAAAAGAUAUCUGAAGAACUCCAUGACAGAUGCAAGGAAAAUGGAUUACUUGUGCCUUGGUGUCCCCAGCUUGAUGUCCUGGCGCAUAAAGCCAUAGGUUGUUUCUUGACACACUGCGGAUGGAACUCAACGACAGAAGCAAUUGUUGCCGGUGUGCCAAUGGUGGCAAUGCCAAGGUCGGCUGACCAGCCAACCACGGCAAAGUAUGUGGAGAGUGCAUGGGGGAUCGGCGUGCGGAUGCGGGCAGAGGUGAAAUGCUUGGUGAGGAGGGAGGAGGUGAAGAGAUGCAUCCGGAAGGUGAUGGAUGGGAAGGGAAAGGAUGAGUACCGCAGCAAUGCGACAAAGUGGAUGAAGAUGGCCAAAGAGGCAAUGCAGGAAGGAGGGAGUUCGGAUAAAAACAUUGCUGAAUUUGCAUCCAAGUAUUUAUCGACAUAAAUUUAGGCCUAAUUAUCCUUGCCACCCCAUGGUUAUAUUGCGAUUCAUUGCAUAUUUCGUAUGCACGUUUUGAUUAAAGAUUAUUCUUCCUCUUCACUUUAGUAUCACUCAUUAUGCUUUCAAUCCUUUUGAUGCUACAUUAUGAGUUAUUAAAAACAUUAAUUUAUAAAUAAAUGUAUAAAUCCACACAUUUCAACUAGAAAAGAUGAUUUGUAUUCUCCGACUCUGCUAGACUAUAUUCUAGAUUAUGGUAUUAUAGUUUGUAAUCUUGUUAGGAAAUUUCAUUUUGUAAUUCAGUUUACCUCGUGUUUCAAGUGUUCUUUUAGUAAAUUUAAUGUAACAUCUUUUUUAGGGUCCCCGCAGAGAAACCAUCUUUUUUAGGGGAUUUAAUGUGACAUCUAAUAUGAUCAUUUAUUCACAGUUAAAUACCUAUAAUUAUAAUAAAAAUAUUUUUUAAAUGUGUUUAAUUAUAAUUUAAGUUAACCUCAAAAUAUUUCUAAAUUUCAAGUUAAUUUCAAUUAUAGUUCUUUAUACUUUGUAAAAUACAAAAUUAAUUAUAUAAAAUUCAGUUUUAUAAUGUCAAAAAAUAGCUUCAAGGAUUUAAAGAAAUCACUCGAAAAAUAUAUUAAAAAAUGUCUUUAUAGGCCUACCUAGUUUUUUUUAAACCUGAUUUGGAUUAGAUUGUUUCCAGAGAAUAAAACCAUUAUUAACGAUUGUAUGGCCCGACUAUUGUACUAAAUUUUGCUCAUAUUACACUUUAUUUAGACAAAUAUGUUUUGCAUCUCGAGGUUACUGACUUUCUGUGUUAUUGCAGCCAACCGGGGAUUAUAUAACCAGAAAAAUAAAAUUCCUGAAAAGGGGACACCCAUGACCUCAACAUCAUAUAUAUAGUGAUGCACACACUCAUCUCUACUAAACAAAACAAAGUCCAGACACUCAACAUGUUUGGAAAAAAAUGAAAGAGGAAAAAAGACCACAGCCGGUUGAAGAAAGAAGAUUACAUAACCUAGUCACAUCACCGAUUAACGAGGAAUGAAUUACAAAUGUGUCAUGUCUCCCUUGUAGUAUUUGUUAGACAUGGCAAUAUUGAGACUUGGCUUU